CAAAUUCAUCGAUCUAGAGCUGCCUUGGAGACUAGCAAAAGGCGAGAGCGGGUUUUUAGAGACUUCCAUUACCUUUUACCCGUUCUGAACUCGCUCAACACUCACCAUGAUGGAUCGGUAUAAGAGGGUAGAGAAACCGAGGCCAGAGACGCCGAUUAACGAGAAUGAGAUUGGUAUAACCACUCAGGGGAGGAUGAGGAACUAAAUUAUUUAUGCUAUCACUCUGUUUCAGUGUUUGGCAUGAUUUACUAUAGAAGGGCAUUAAUGUUACAGAGUUUCCUGGAAAGAAGAUCUCUGGGAGGAAAGAGGAAGUGGGGAUAUAUUGGAAGAAAGGAAGAAAACCUUUGUCUUUUGAGCAAUCAGUAUUGUGAUAAUGGCAAAGAUGAGAGGUGUUUGACGAAUUUCCAGUUCAGAAUAGUGACAAAUUGAGUAUACUUUAGAGACAGUGACUAAGGAAGCUUCAGCGAAAUCGAGAUAAUUCUCUAG